AAUGUAUCUUGGAAGACAAGCCUAUAGAAUUUUCCACUUCCGCAGAUGGUGUGUCAGACCUUAGAAGGGCAAUUGCAAUUUUUCUCCUAAACAACACAGAUGACUUGAGGAACCUGUGUUACUUCUGUGGGGGUCAAGAAAAUGGAAGUGACUGGAUUGGCUGUGAUGUGUGCCCACGGUGGUUUCACUGUGACUGCAUAAACACACCAGUGAAGGUGGCAAGCUUCAUCUGUCCAGCAUGUAAAUAGUGAAGUGGGAAGGAAAGCUAAUUUAAGGAUUUAAUCAUUUCAUUCGAAUUGUCUUUGUACAU